UACGUAGGGUGCGAGCGUUGUCCGGAAUUAUUGGGCGUAAAGAGCUUGUAGGCGGUCUGUCGCGUCUGCUGUGAAAAUCCGGGGCUCAACCCCGGACUUGCAGUGGGUACGGGCAGACUAGAGUGUGGUAGGGGAGACUGGAAUUCCUGGUGUAGCGGUGAAAUGCGCAGAUAUCAGGAGGAACACCGGUGGCGAAGGCGGGUCUCUGGGCCGUAACUGACGCUGAGGAGCGAAAGCAUGGGGAGCGAAUAGG
rnacentral:rRNA from 1 species